UACGUAGGGUGCAAGCGUUGUCCGGAAUUAUUGGGCGUAAAGAGCUCGUAGGCGGUCUGUCGCGUCGGCUGUGAAAACUCGGGGCUCAACCCCGAGCCUGCAGUCGAUACGGGCAGACUAGAGUGCGGUAGGGGAGACUGGAAUUCCUGGUGUAGCGGUGAAAUGCGCAGAUAUCAGGAGGAACACCAGUGGCGAAGGCGGGUCUCUGGACAGUUCCUGACGCUGAGGCACGAAGGCCAGGGGAGCAAACGGG
rnacentral:rRNA from 1 species